GUUGUGUACUUAGGUUAUUCAAGUGAAGUUUUAAUGUUAUCCAAUAUACUUGUAUAAGUCAAAUUAUGAUUUCGUUUUUGGACCUUUCAGGAAUAUUAGAAUAUGGGGCACUUGUUACACGUGAGUGAAAUGGAAAAGAAGAUUGAAACUCUAGCAAAAAUCACUUGGAUGUUAUUAAAAAAAUAAGAUAAUGGAUCUGGGGAUGGCAAUCAUACACAAAUGACGUAUGCGGAAGAUAGGAAAGUGGAUGUCAAUGCCUAUAUGCAUGCCCAUGGCUAUUUGGUUUCAGUAUUAAUGUUUGUAGGUAGGUUGGUUGUUUAUGGCAUAAACUUCAUAUAGAAAGAAUGAUUCAAAUGGCUUCARGUUUGAUUUGUGGUAAAGAAUCUUAAAUUAUUGUUUGUUUGUUUGUCUAUAAUGAAACAAGCAUUCCUAUCUCUUCAAAA